GGGGCCUUAGCUCAGAUGGGAGAGCGCCUGCUUUGCACGCAGGAGGUCAUCGGUUCGAUCCCGUUAGGCUCCA
rnacentral:tRNA from 2 species